UAUCUGGUUGAUCCUGCCAGUAGUCAUAUGCUUGUCUCAAAGAUUAAGCCAUGCAUGUCUAAGUAUAAGCAAUUUAUACAGUGAAACUGCGAAUGGCUCAUUAAAUCAGUUAUCGUUUAUUUGAUAGUUCCUUUACUACAUGGUAUAACUGUGGUAAUUCUAGAGCUAAUACAUGCUUAAAAUCUCGACCCUUUGGAAGAGAUGUAUUUAUUAGAUAAAAAAUCAAUGUCUUCGGACUCUUUGAUGAUUCAUAAUAACUUUUCGAAUCGCAUGGCCUUGUGCUGGCGAUGGUUCAUUCAAAUUUCUGCCCUAUCAACUUUCGAUGGUAGGAUAGUGGCCUACCAUGGUUUCAACGGGUAACGGGGAAUAAGGGUUCGAUUCCGGAGAGGGAGCCUGAGAAACGGCUACCACAUCCAAGGAAGGCAGCAGGCGCGCAAAUUACCCAAUCCUAAUUCAGGGAGGUAGUGACAAUAAAUAACGAUACAGGGCCCAUUCGGGUCUUGUAAUUGGAAUGAGUACAAUGUAAAUACCUUAACGAGGAACAAUUGGAGGGCAAGUCUGGUGCCAGCAGCCGCGGUAAUUCCAGCUCCAAUAGCGUAUAUUAAAGUUGUUGCAGUUAAAAAGCUCGUAGUUGAACUUUGGGCCCGGUUGGCCGGUCCGAUUUUUUCGUGUACUGGAUUUCCAACGGGGCCUUUCCUUCUGGCUAACCUUGAGUCCUUGUGGCUCUUGGCGAACCAGGACUUUUACUUUGAAAAAAUUAGAGUGUUCAAAGCAGGCGUAUUGCUCGAAUAUAUUAGCAUGGAAUAAUAGAAUAGGACGUUUGGUUCUAUUUUGUUGGUUUCUAGGACCAUCGUAAUGAUUAAUAGGGACGGUCGGGGGCAUCAGUAUUCAAUUGUCAGAGGUGAAAUUCUUGGAUUUAUUGAAGACUAACUACUGCGAAAGCAUUUGCCAAGGACGUUUUCAUUAAUCAAGAACGAAAGUUAGGGGAUCGAAGAUGAUCAGAUACCGUCGUAGUCUUAACCAUAAACUAUGCCGACUAGGGAUCGGGUGGUGUUUUUUUAAUGACCCACUCGGCACCUUACGAGAAAUCAAAGUCUUUGGGUUCUGGGGGGAGGUAUGGUCGCAAGGCUGAAACUUAAAGGAAUUGACGGAAGGGCACCACCAGGAGUGGAGYCUGCGGCUUAAUUUGACUCAACACGGGGAAACUCACCAGGUCCAGACACAAUAAGGAUUGACAGAUUGAGAGCUCUUUUCUUGAUUUUGUGGGUGGUGGUGCAUGGCCGUUCUUAGUUGGUGGAGUGAUUUGUCUGCUUAAUUGCGAUAACGAACGAGACCUUAACCUACUAAAUAGUGGUGCUAGCAUUUGCUGGUUAUCCACUUCUUAGAGGGACUAUCGGUUUCAAGCCGAUGGAAGUUUGAGGCAAUAACAGGUCUGUGAUGCCCUUAGACGUUCUGGGCCGCACGCGCGCUACACUGACGGAGCCAGCGAGUCUAACCUUGGCCGAGAGGUCUUGGUAAUCUUGUGAAACUCCGUCGUGCUGGGGAUAGAGCAUUGUAAUUAUUGCUCUUCAACGAGGAAUUCCUAGUAAGCGCAAGUCAUCAGCUUGCGUUGAUUACGUCCCUGCCCUUUGUACACACCGCCCGUCGCUAGUACCGAUUGAAUGGCUUAGUGAGGCCUCAGGAUCUGCUUAGAGAAGGGGGCAACUCCAUCUCAGAGCGGAGAAUUUGGACAAACUUGGUCAUUUAGAGGAACUAAAAGUCGUAACAAGGUUUCCGUAGGUGAACCUGCGGAAGGAUCAUUA
rfam:Saccharomyces cerevisiae AWRI796 unplaced genomic scaffold AWRI796_scf_1001_22, whole genome shotgun sequence.